AGAUUCACAGCUGAGCUCACGCAGCUUCAUCAGGCUCCAUGGAGAGCACCAGGGAGCUCCAGGGAAUUAUUCUGAUGUAAUCCGAGCCGCUCAGUUGCUGGAAGAAGCGAGGGCACUAGGCACUGAUGACCCGGAGGAAGAGAAGGGCCACGUGGAGAACCUCCCUGGAAGGGAACAGACCAACAGGCAGUACCCACCUUCUGGCAAACUGCGUGUUAAAGCUUCCUCCCUAUAGUCCUGAUCUUGCUCCAUCGGACUUUCACCUGUUUGGUCCCCUGAAAGCAGCCCUACAAGGAUGAAGAUUCACUUCUGAUGAAGAAGUGAAGACAGUGGUGCAUUCGUGGCUUGCAGCUCAGCCUAAAACAUUUUUUAAUGAGGGAAUAUGAAAGCUUGUUGACAG